UAUCCUGUUGUCUAUGAUGCAUUUCUUAGUCUGAAAAUUUUCAUUUCAUGAUGAUAAAUUUUUCGUCACUACCACUGAGACAACAAGUAU